GACAGAGAGGCAGGAAGAAGGGCUCUGUUGUGAGAGGACCCAGUCUGCAGGCUCUUUUUUUAGUAAUUGCUCAAGCGGGAGGAAACCCAGCUCACAGAAGUUAUAUUUUAACCAUCUAAGUGACUGGUUAUCAAAGUGUGACUGAGCAUGGAUAUUCAACAGCAGAUUAUGCUGGUGCAGUUUGGGAAAAGGACAGGGGAGUCAUGUGAUACAGAAAGGAGGAACUAAAUUUUAUAUAUAGUGCUGGACUUACAAAGUGCUUUCCAAAGGGAUGAUUUUGAAUUUCUGCAGAAGAAAAAAGCAAAAAGAAGUAAGUUUCUUUAAUCCAAC
rnacentral:lncRNA from 1 species